rnacentral:tRNA from 1 species
GGCUCUGUAGUGAAAUUCAUGUUGAGUUGCAAGCUCAUCGAUGUGCAUUAGCUGUGUACCGGAGUCU